AUACUCUGUCUUCAGCAACAAGUUUAAAUAAAGUGACCGAUUCAAGCUCCUGUUUCAGAGCAUGAACUUCUGCAUCUGCGUUUUCCCAUCCUAAACAAAGAAGGCGACUUCCACAUAAGUCUCUGUAGCUUCUUUAAGGGAGCGUGUUAGAAUCCACACCAGUAAGGAGCAAACCUGAAACCGCUUCUUCGGCAACUUUUGCAUGCUGCUUGACGAGAUUUUCCUUGGUAGAUAACUCCAAAUGAGCAGUCGAUAACUUUCCCUCUAAAUCCUUCACUUGAUUCUCCAAUGUAUUUACUUGAUUUUCCAAUGCACUGACUAGUUCUUCCAAA